UUUUUCUUUUCUUUUUUUUUUUUUCCCAGUUCUUCAAGCUAUUACCAGAUUUUCCUGAGGGAACAACCCUGAAAGAUACCCCUUCAGCAAUUAACUAGCAACCUUUCAGACUAGAACCAAAAGCUUCCCCUGAUUUCAAUGGAAAAUUCAAGAUCCUGCUAGGUGAAACCAUCAUCUUUAAUAAUCUAGAAACAGCCAAUCCACUUGCAUUGUUUUUAUAUUUUAUCAGAAAGUUUCCCAUCUACAAAGUUCACAGCUCACAGGAGGCACAUUAGACAGCAAAACAAAUGUGAUGCAGAGUCCUGAGAACUUGAUGUUGGAAGCAGCAAUCAGUAAAGCAGUUUUGGAAGGAUUGGACAAGGAUUCCCAAUCUCAGCAGAGAGAGGAAUUGAAUUAUAUUCUAUAUCCUGGAGGAGUGACCUACAGCCCCAUCCUCUAAUAAAUAAUAAGUGUUAAUCAGCCUCCUCCUUUUAUCCAGUGCUCUGGUAGUUGGAGCACUCACCCAAGGUGGGGCUAAUCAAGGUUUAGUUAAGCAGGAAGAGAUCACAAGCUGGAAUUCUCAGGUGCAUGCUUUUAACCACUAUUGUCAGAGCACAAGGGCAGCCUAAGGUUAAGGUGUCCCUGGUAGGAGAGGCUGAGCUGGAAGUUAGAGAACCACAGGAAUCCUUACCCAGCCUAAGUUGCAGAGUUAAACACUGAAGAAGGACCAACUUGAACAAAAGGAUUGAGAGCCCUGAAGGAAUUUCUCCCAAGGGAAUGCUGUGAGAAAUGCCUCCCAGGGUAACCCCUGGGAAGUGCUUGGUUCCUGCUUGCCCUGGUACCUUUAUGGGCCUGUCCAAACCUUUCUAUUGCCAGGCCUUCCUAACCCCAAUUAUAAAAGCACAAAUCUUUAUGGUUUUUUUUACUGGUGCAGUUGAUUUGAUGAAUGCUAUGCACUUACAGACCUUCAUAGAUCCAGUCUGCAACAGUUUAAAACCCUGCACCAGCAGGGCAGAUACAUGAUCUCUAGGAGCCAAACCUCCAUCAAGAAAACACUUCUCUUAAUUCAUUAUAAUAAACCCACUUUUCAGUCAUCUAAACUGUGAAGAACUUUCACUUUCUCCAAGUCAGAGCAAUAGAUGCUCUAUGAUAAGACUGAGUGAAGACAAAAUACCAAAAGCAAACCCCAAAUCCACUUUCCAAGCCCCUGCCCUGCUACAAGCAUGAAAACAAAUGUCUUGGCACUUUCUGCUGGCAUUGAAAGCUCUUUGAACUGAAAUGUAAUUACAAGCAAUAGACUGUUAACACUCCAGUAUCCUUUUGAAGAGGAGCUGCAUUCCCUGAACCAUAACACAGGAUCAGCAGUUUAGUUACAAAGGCUUCAUUCAGAAGCCAAGGCAUCGUUGAAUUUUGGUGCUGGCCAGGUGAAACUUUUUUACACUUAUCUGUCACUUCAGCCCUGACCAUUUGAAUGGGUUAGGUAAGUGCAGCACAAAGAACGUGUCAGAGAAUCCCAGAAGCUUCCUUUCCCACACAAAAGGCAUUUUAAGUAUGGUUGGAGCAGAUUAUGCUUGAACUCCUUGAGAUCAGCUUUGCCUCCUUCCCUCCCACUGCUGCCAGUUUCUGACAGCUUACUGCAGGGUAUAAUUAGGUAUCUAGUUUCUGGUCUUUCUUUAAGGCAUAUAUCUGCCCUGUUUUUCUUGUUUUUUUCUUUCCCCAAGAAAUUGAGUCAUUAUUUUCUUUCCUCCCAAGUUCAGCCCUCAAGAAAGUUUUGCCUUCCCCCAGCAGGGGUAUUUUUGAGGGCACACUUGUUUCCACUUGUAGUGUAAACUAAAAAUGGUAGCAUUUUAGAUAUUCAGUAUGACUAUUGCACAAAACUCUGUCUGCUGUUUGCCUUUAAAUAUAUGUAUACACACACAUCUCUGUGCAUACACAUCAAUACAUAAAAAAGCCAAAAACAUAGCUUGGGAGCUGCUAAAGAGUAGAAGCUAUUUAUAGUUUCGCUUUUUUUAUGUUUUAACAGUAAUGGUUAAGCACUAACACAUCCAAGGAGUGCACAUAGCAUUAAAUAACUGGAUCACAUGGGAAGCAUCAGCUUGUCAUAUCUCAUCCUACAGUAUGCUACAAAAAGCUCUUCAGUGCUUUCUUGUGUAGAAGUAAUUUUCCCCUCAUUCCCAUUUUAAAGCAGAGGCACAAUUUCUUCUUCCUUUCCUACAAAUAAGCUCCUUUCUUACCCUCACCUCUUUGUUUGCAUUGUGUUUGCACUGCUGGAGCCUAUGCUUAGACCAAGAGAGCUUCCACUCUCCUACCUGGUGUUCCCCCUUUCCUUGUCAUAGCUCCCCUUGCCGUGCAACCACAGGUCCUCCCUGUUCCCACUUACCUACCUUGGGUGCAAGAACCUUCACAGCCCCAGCAGGUAUCCUGUGGUGUCUGGAGAACCAUCUGCACGAGCCUGCUCUUGCCCUGCUCACACAGCCUCAGCCCAGCAGCCCCCUGAGCACCCAGCCUCCUCAAUUCCCUGCUCCCCACAUCACCUGCUGGCAGGGCCAGAGCCCAUUUCCCAGGUCUGCACACCAGCUGUGGGUGACAGCCCACCCCCCCAAAGCCCAGGGGUCCCCCCCCAGUUCCCUUUACACCAGCCAGCCACCCAAAGCUUUAGGAAAUGAGGCUUCUUUGUGAAAUGAGUGCCUGGAUCAAAAGCAGAGGUGUGAGUGCCUGUGGCAGGCUGCAGGGCAGCUGAGUGAGCGUGUCCAGCCUAUGGCACAAGGGAAUUGCAUUGCUCAGGAAAUCCAGAGCAUGACAGCCAACGAGGUAAAGCUGUCCCUGUCUGCUGCCCAGGUAGGGCAGGACCAGCUCUCUCUGCAUGAGGGCUGUUGCCCUGAGCAGCCCAGAUGGAUGCUUGGUUUUCACUCCACAUCCUCUUGCAGAAGUGGAAAGCUCCCCUUGCAGCAGGAUGUGGCACGACCAAGAUCAAUUCAGCUAAUGUUGAGGGCUGACCACACAUGAAUCAUGGCUUGCCUGAGAAGAGUCAGGUGAAGGGGCUCUGUGGGAGGUCUCUGAUAGGGAGCAGGAGGCUGGAGUCCAUGGCCAAGGAGGAUGAUUGCUCUCUAUUGGCACUCUUUCAUGCUUCUUGGCAGGUGUUGGGAGUUGCCCGGGUCAGGACAGCUCAGAUGGUCUGAGUGACACCAGCUGUGCCUUCUGAUUUGGUUUCCACAGAAAAGCUGGGUUAGAUGGCAGUGUAAGUCUCAUCUCUGCUGGGGACCCUGACAAGGGGACUGAGAGGAAAGAGUACAGGCAGUGCUGGUACAAGGUUGAAUUUUGGCAAGUGUAUCCCAGCAUUGCAAAAACAGUGUGAGUGUAGCACAAAAUGGAUGUUCCCCCUCUGAGCUGCAGCCCAGCCAAGCAGGAUGUGGCAGCAGGGAUGCAGCAGCAGGGAUGCAGCAGCAUGGGCUUAGGGGCAGGGUAGCAACCUGUGCAGGGGACCAUGGGAACAGCUGCUUGUUGCUAUCCCUAGAUGUGGUACCAUUGCAGUCCUGUGCUGCCCAAAUAACCAUAUUAAAGCUUGCAUAGCCUCCAGUUACCUUCUCUUUCCCCCUCUGUUCUGACCAUGCUUUUAGAAAAUUAAUUUAUCUGCACCCCCUCGCUCCAGUCUCCGCUGACAGCAAUGCUUUUGCUGUGACUGUUUCUCUUCCCGUGCUUGUACUCCUGAUUGUUGCUGUGUGCCCAAAGAAAUCUUUGUGUCAAUACACCCCAUGUUCUCCUUUUCCCUUACUCAGUUAUCUCUUUGCUUCAAGUUUAAGCAUGAAUCCUCCUUGUACCCUAGACUGAUUUCUCCUUGUAACCAGGAGCAGCCAGAGACAUUGACUGGAGCAGGGCUCCUCAGGGAGCCUGCAGUAAUGUGUAUUAGAUGGUUGUUGGUGCUGUCUUGGAUGUCCUUUCCCAGUAUUAAGCAGCAUUUGCUCAGUGCCAUGUGUUGAUUCAGCAACAUGCUAAAAAUGUGAAGCUAUUUUGGAUCUUUAUCGCAAAGUGUAGUUAAUAAAGACAUGUGUGGAGACAGUUUAUUUGCUGUGCUUCACAUCAUUGUCGGGCAGCACCUGGUUCAUCACAGGUGAGCACAGGCACAAAUGAGGAGCUGGUGAUGCUGAGCACCAAGCCACUUUGGAACAUGACGUGCCAAGCCAUUAGUGCUGGUGAUAAACAGAUGCAGCCAGCUAUUAAGCUUGAUUCGAGGCCAUUAAUAGUGGGUCAAUAAAGGUCCCGAUUGUUGCUUUCAGUAGAAGUAAUAACUCGAGAGCUAUUCAUAUAAAUUCAAAGGCUCUGUCCCAUCAUGGCAUACUGGGCAAGGCCCUCAGCAUUUGGGUUGGCUCAGCUCAGAAAAUUGUUGGGGAUAAAGACACAUACUUUGAUGAACAAGCACACCAGACCAAAUAUAGGGGUAGAUGAAUGUCCAGCAGCACAGAUGAGCCACAAAUGAGCGCUUCAAUGUAGGCUCUGUGCCAGCCCAACUGGUCUUUGUCUUGGCCAGCCUAGAGAGACCAGGGGAGAGCGAAGGAUGUCCGAUGUUAGGGAGUGGGUGCCGCGGUGCUGUGCCAUGGCCAUGGGCGACUCGCCCCAUUGGCGGGGUUCCUGCGGGGCAGGAGGCAGGUGUGGAAGGGGAGCAUCCCCGGGGAUAGGGCGGGGGAGAGUUCCUCACCCUCCCGUUCUCGCCCCCCUCCUCCCCUCCCCCGGCCGCGCAGC
ensembl:lncRNA